AUGGGGGGGGCUCUCCCCCCACCUCGCCCGCCGCUGGAUAAAAGCGGCCCGCGCACUCACCGCCUCGCCUCGCCCGCCCGCCUGCCGGCCGCACACCCUGCGCCUUCCUCGGCCACUCCAGACAGACUCCCUCCCGCCUCGGACUGGCCCUUCCCGGCCCCGAGAGGACCCUCCUCCUCCUCCUCCUUCUGCAGACACCGCCGAAGGAACAAUCGGCCCCGCCCAUCAAGGCAUCCCACCGCCUCGGUCCUCGCACUCACCGCCUCGCCUCGCCCGCCCGCCUGCCGGCCGCACACCCUGCGCCUUCCUCGGCCACUCCAGACAGACUCCCUCCCGCCUCGGACUGGCCCUUCCCGGCCCCGAGAGGACCCUCCUCCUCCUCCUCCUUCUGCAGACACCGCCGAAGGAACAAUCGGCCCCGCCCAUCAAGGCAUCCCACCGCCUCGGUCCUUGCACAGAAGAAAGCUGCCGCCCCUUCUGAUGACAAUGACGCCUUCCCUCGGGGGACGAAGUUUAGCAAGGAAGAGCAAACUGCAGCAUGAAAAUCUUUCCACUCUUCCAAGGUGUUCUCUAUAGAUGAAAUAUUCCACGGAUACAACUGGAAAUGAAAAUCAGGAGGAGCUUGCUUUGCAUAAAGUCCCGAUGCAUUUAUGCAGAGGAUCUGACAUGUUAUGAUUGGUCACAGAACUGAUGCUAGACCAGCCUCACCAUGAGGCAGAGCGAGGCACACACCUCAAGCAGUAAGUGGUGCCGAGCAGCAAUGAGAGCAUCAGAAGUAUUCCUCCUUAGCCCUUGGGCCUCUCCUCUUUCAUGAAAAACGUACUGCCUGUCUUCCCUCUUCUAAUCUGGCUUGUUGCCCCCAAGAUGUGGUGGAGGAAACUGUCCCAUUAUCUGUGUUCAAAUAAGAUUUAACUGCUGGCCCACCUCAUUUCUGGACACUCAGUGGAGGGAUUAUCAUCCUGGCCUUUGCCUGACCUAGCAUAAUGUCUUGGGCCAGCACUAUGCUGACAGUAAGAAAUUUCUGCUCUGCAUGCCAUGAAUCAUUAUGCACCCCUUCAUCUUUCCUUCUUUUCAAUAUUAUACGCAAGCAUCUGCCACAUAGUAAUAUUCUGCAUACUUUUGAUUAGAAGUCAUUCAGCGUUUCAUUAAAUGCAAAAAUGCUUCUAACUGCUGGGAAAAAUGGUGUUUAUUCUUUCCAUAAAUGUCUUGUAAUUUGUGUCUAAUUCAUAGUGACGUGUAACUAAAAAUGAUAUUGAAUCUGGCAAGAAAUAGUAUAAAAUGAAUGUUUAAUAUAGUUAUAUAAAACUUCUAGCGUCUUGACUGCACUGAAGACUCAAAAGAACUACAGCCAUCACAACGUUUAUAGUGGUUCUAUAAAUAGGGAUGUUAAAGGUGCCCGAUAUGGAAAAUAACAGGCAAAGCUCAAAUAUCUUACUUUCCUCCCUAAAAAUUCCAUGAAUGUCUAGCAGUUUAAUAUUCAUAACAAUAAAAUAUAACAUUUGUUCUGUGGGUUUUUUCCU
rnacentral:lncRNA from 1 species